GAUGAACGCUGGCGGCGUGCCUAAUACAUGCAAGUCGAGCGAAUGGAUUAAGAGCUUGCUCUUAUGAAGUUAGCGGCGGACGGGUGAGUAACACGUGGGUAACCUGCCCAUAAGACUGGGAUAACUCCGGGAAACCGGGGCUAAUACCGGAUAACAUUUUGAACCGCAUGGUUCGAAAUUGAAAGGCGGCUUCGGCUGUCACUUAUGGAUGGACCCGCGUCGCAUUAGCUAGUUGGUGAGGUAACGGCUCACCAAGGCAACGAUGCGUAGCCGACCUGGGCGGGUGGUCGGGCACACUGGGACUGGAACACGGCCCAGACUCCUACGGGAGGCAGCAGUAGGGAAUCUUCCGCAAGGGACGAAAGUCUGACGGAGCAACGCCGCGUGAGUGAUGAAGGCUUUCGGGUCGUAAAACUCUGUUGUUAGGGAAGAACAAGUGCUAGUUGAAUAUGCUGGCACCUUGACGGUACCUAACCAGAAAGCCACGGCUAACUACGUGCCAGCCGCCGCCGUAA
rnacentral:rRNA from 1 species